rnacentral:piRNA from 1 species
CAGCCACAGGAAGCUAAAGGUCUGUGGGCU